UACGAGAGGCCCAAACGUUAUCCGGAUUCACUGGGUUUAAAGGGUGCGUAGGUGGGUCUGUAAGUCAGUGGUGAAAUCUCCGUGCUUAACAUGGAAACUGCCAUUGAUACUAUAGGUCUUGAAUUUUCUGGAGGUAAGCGGAAUAUGUCAUGUAGCGGUGAAAUGCUUAGAUAUGACAUAGAACACCAAUUGCGAAGGCAGCUUGCUACAGGGAUAUUGACACUGAGGCACGAAAGCGUGGGGAUCAAACAGG
rnacentral:rRNA from 1 species